UCUGGCAGUAGUGUCUAUCGCCCGACCGCCACAAUCUGUCGACCGUUCGGAGCCUGCCGUAAAAAUUUCAAGGAAUUAAAUUUCUACAGUUUACUGCAUUGCUAGUAAACCGGGCACAAAGAAAUUGAGUAAUAAUUCUACGAGACAAAAACCAAACAAAACAAAAAUUAAUA